GUGCCAGCCGCCUCGGUGAUACGGAGGGUGCAAGCGUUAUCCGGAUUCACUGUUGGUGAAAGGGUGCGUAGGCGGGCGUAUAAGUCAGUGGUGAAAUCCUGGAGCUUAACUCCAGAACUGCCAUUGAUACUAUAUGUCUUGAAUAUGGUGGAGGUAAGCGGAAUAUGUCAUGUAGCGGUGAAAUGCAUAGAUAUGACAUAGAACACCUAUUGCGAAGGCAGCUUACUACGCCUAUAUUGACCCUGAGGCACGAAAGCGUGGGGAUCAAACAGGAUUAGAUACCCUGGUAGUCCACGCCCUAAACGAUGAUUACUCGACGUGUGCGAUAAACGGUACGCGACUGAGCGAAAGCAUUAAGUAAUCCACCUGGGAAGAACGACCGCAAGGGUGAAACUCAAAGGAAUUGGCGGGGGCCGCACAAGCGGUGGAGCAUGUGGUUAAUUCGAUGAUACGCGAGGAACCUUACCUGGGCUAGAAUGCAGACUGACUGCGGGUGACAGCUCAUUUUGUAUCACUACACACAAUUGUAAGGUGCUGAAUGGGUGUCGUCACCUCGUUGCCGUGAGGUGCUGGGUUAAGUCCCACUAACGGGUUGCAACCCCCUCUUAUUAGUUUUCUAAUAGAUGAAAGCUGGGAAACUCUAUCUUUAAUUGUCGUCCUUAAAUACGAGCACAUUAGGGAUUAGGUGAAAAGGUAUUUCGGCCUUUUUCUCAUGCGUUCUCCUCAUGCUACAUUUGGGCGAGAAAGGCUGAUAAACUCUUC
rnacentral:rRNA from 1 species